rnacentral:rRNA from 1 species
UACGGGGGGGGCAAGCGUUGUUCGGAAUUACUGGGCGUAAAGGGCUCGUAGGCGGCCAACUAAGUCGGAUGUGAAAUCCCCAAGCUUAACUUGGGAACUGCAUCCGAUACUGGAUGGCUUGAAUCCGGGAGAGGGAUGCAGAAUUCCAGGUGUAGCGGUGAAAUGCGCAGAUAUCAGGAGGAACACCGAUUGCGAAGGCAGCUUGCUGGGACGUUACUGACGCUAAGGCGCGAAAGCGUGGGGAGCGAACAGG